rnacentral:rRNA from 1 species
AACGAACGCUGGCGGCAUGCCUAACACAUGCAAGUCGAACGAGACCUUCGGGGCUAGUGGCGCACGGGUGCGUAACGCGUGGGAACCUGCCCUUAGGUUCGGAAUAACUCCCCGAAAGGGGUGCUAAUACCGGAUAAUGUCUUCGGACCAAAGAUUUAUCGACUUUGGAUGGGCCCGCGUUGGAUUAGCUAGUUGGUAGGGUAAAAGCCUACCAAGGCGACGAUCCAUAGCUGGUCUGAGAGGAUGAUCAGCCACACUGGGACUGGGACACGGCCCAGACUCCUACGGGAGGCAGCAGUGGGGAAUAUUGGACCAUGGGCGGAAGCCUGAUCCAGCAAUGCCGCGUGAGUGAUGAAGGCCUUAGGGUUGUAAAGCUCUUUUACCCGGGAUGAUAAUGACAGUACCGGGAGAAUAAGCUCCGGCUAACUCCGUG